rnacentral:rRNA from 1 species
GUGAACGCUGGCGGUAGGCCUAACACAUGCAAGUCGAACGGCAGCACCGUAAGAGCUUGCUCUUACGGGUGGCGAGUGGCGGACGGGUGAGGAAUACAUCGGAAUCUACUUUUUCGUGGGGGAUAACGUAGGGAAACUUACGCUAAUACCGCAUACGACCUACGGGUGAAAGCAGGGGAUCUUCGGACCUUGCGCGAUUGAAUGAGCCGAUGUCGGAUUAGCUAGUUGGCGGGGUAAAGGCCCACCAAGGCGACGAUCCGUAGCUGGUCUGAGAGGAUGAUCAGCCACACUGGAACUGAGACACGGUCCAGACUCCUACGGGAGGCAGCAGUGGGGAAUAUUGGACAAUGGGCGCAAGCCUGAUCCAGCCAUACCGCGUGGGUGAAGAAGGCCUUCGGGCUGUAAAGCCCUUUUGUUGGGAAAGAAAAGCAGCAGGUUAAUACCCCGCUGUUCUGACGGUACCCAAAGAAUAAGCACCGGCUAACUUCGUG